UAGUGAGUUUGAUCCUGGCUCAGAUUGAACGCUGGCGGCAGGCCUAACACAUGCAAGUCGGGCGGUAACAGGGAGAAGCUUGCUUCUCUGCUGACGAGCGGCGGACGGGUGAGUAACACGUAAGGAACCUGCCCCAAGGAUUGGGAUAACUCCGAGAAAUCGGAGCUAAUACCGGAUAGUUCAACGGACCGCAUGGUCCGCUGAUGAAAGGCGCUUCGGCGUCACCUUGAGAUGGCCUUGCGGUGCAUUAGCUAGGUUGGCGGGGGUAACGGCCCACCAAGGCGACGAUGUCUAGGGGACCUGAGAGGGUGAUCCCCGACACUGGCACUGAGAUACGGGGCCAGACUCCUACGGGGAGGCAGCAGUAGGGGAAUAUUGGGGGCAAUGGGGCGAAAGCCCGUGACGGAGCAAGACCGCGUGA
rnacentral:rRNA from 1 species